UACGAGGGGGGGCGAGCGUUGUUCGGAAUUAUUGGGCGUAAAGGGUGCGUAGGCGGUUUGGUAAGUCUGAUGUGAAAUCUAUGGGCUCAACUCAUAGUCUGCAUCGGAAAACUGCCGGGCUUGAGUAUGGGAGAGGUGAGUGGAAAUUCCUGGUGUAGCGGUGAAAAUGCGUAGAUAUCAGGAGGAACACCUGUGGCGAAAAGCGGCUCACUGGACCAUAACUGACGCUGAUGCACGAAAAGCUAGGGGGAGCAAAACAGG
rnacentral:rRNA from 1 species